rnacentral:ncRNA from 1 species
AAUUAAGCAACGAACUGGAGUAGUACAGUGAUUGUUUUGUUCUAGCGAGCAAGUGUUUGGUGAAAACUUGUACAAACAACAUUGGAACUUGUCAGGGAGCUUAACGCACCUCUGCGUUAUAGAGGUUUGAGUGUUCGUGUCAAUGUUGGCAGGAAAACUAAGGUGGUACCGCGUUUUUAACGUCCUUAGA